CUCUAAUCAGCAAAGGGGCUGUCGGCAGGCGAUGUACAAAUGAAAGCGCGCUUUCUAAAUUUCCAAAGCACUAAAGGGAGAGAAAUGCGCAAUUACUGUGGGAUUCGCCCAGAGGAGCAGCCUCAGGAGUUGAAGGGGAUCCUGUCCCUCCCAGAGGAAAGCUCACGAUUGGAUUGGAACUUCUAGCGACUGCCUGAGGUCAUGGAUUCAGGAGCCCAGGAAUAAACCUAAAGCUUUUUUUCCUAACCGUUCAGAUCGAAGGACUUUCGAGGUCCUCCUCAGUUCCACUUUUGCACACCUUAAGCUGCCCCCGUCGACUUGGCAACGUGUCCCGCGGUAUUGUUCCUUUCAUAUUUUCUGUUUCUUAACAGGCAAACGCACAUAAGGGUCCCCAGAUGCAGCGAAUGAACAGGUUUUCCUCGUAAAAAUGAUGGAGGUGAAGGUGGGGAUGGGGGUGCUCUCCUCACUCCGGAAUCUGAAGCGGGAGAGAGCUGGAUAAACCGCCGAGAUGACCUAAGUGGUCUGAGGCGACCAGCAGCGCGUCCACAGUGGAGGACCCAGGCCUCGGCUCAGACAUGGCCUGCUCCGCUCUUUCCCUAGGCUCCUCUGCAACAUCAGGCAACCAAGGCCUGCGCUCUCCUUUUCCUGAGGAGACUCCCUGGAACCUUCAAGAACCCCCCGACAGCCACCAGGAUACCCGGUCUGAAUGGUUUCCUACCAAGAAAGACCCCGAAGACCUGCAGUUCUGUCCAGAAACGAGUUUUUAGGGUCACUUGAAUUUGAGCUGCUGCGAGGGCGGUGCUUUAGGGAGCAGAGUUCAAAGAGGAAUUCCUCAGGACCCUAGGCCAGGUCCGCGUUAAAGGGCGCCUUACAAACCUCCUCUCCCCACACUCCCCCGCAGCCCCUUCCCCAACGUUUAAGGCACCGGAUCUUGAGAAGCAAAUCUAGUGCCCAGCUUCAAAUCCCCGCCUUGGAAAAGUACAAAGAGAAAACUGAUUUUUCAAAUCCCAAAGCCCUUUCCUUUUAAGCAACUUGGAAAAACUCAGCUAUAAACGCUUUCUCCUCUUAUGCUAAAAUUGAAAACUUAUAGAUUUUAGAUGGAAUGAAGAGAAGAUAUAUUCCUUUUCCCUUUAAAUAGCCACAUUUCAAAUUGUGCCAGGCAGCAAUUUCUGCGAAAAAGGAGUGGCGGUUGGGAUUGUUUGGGAGAUGGAGUUUUAUUUGUUCCCAUUUAUUUUGUUUUAUUUUUGUUUUAUUUUUUUCUUUGAGUUUCUUUGUUAUUUUGAGAUUCAUCUAAGAGACUCAGAAUUCCACUCUGAAUAAAGCACUUUUUGUUGUUUCAAAAUUUCAAACUGACAUAAGUGUUGGAUCAUCAGUUUUCCCUUUGUCUGCCCUAGUUGUAAAUAAUGGCUUUGAGAUUAGCUAAUUAAGG
rnacentral:lncRNA from 1 species